rnacentral:rRNA from 1 species
CGCAAUGGACGAAAGUCUGACGCAGCGACGCCGCGUGCGGGAUGAAGGCCCUCGGGUGUAAACCGCUUUCAGCAGGGACGAAAUUGACGGUACCUGCAGAAGAAGCCCCGGCCAACUACGUGCCAGCAGCCGCGGUAAUACGUAGGGGGCUAGCGUUGUCCGGAUUUAUUGGGCGUAAAGAGCUCGUAGGUGGUUCGGUAAGUCGGAUGUGAAAUCUCCAGGCUCAACCUGGAGGGGUCAUUCGAUACUGCCGUGACUAGAGUUCGGUAGAGGAGUGUGGAAUUCCUGGUGGAGCGGUGAAAUGCGCAGAGAUCAGGAGGAACACCCGUAGCGAAGGCGGCACUCUGGGCCGAUACUGACACUGAGGAGCGAAAGCGUGGGGAGCGAACAGGAUUAGAUACCCUGGUAGUCCACGCCGUAAACGUUGGGCACUAGGUGUGGGGUUCUAUCGACGGAUUCCGUGCCGUAGCUAACGCAUUAAGUGCCCCGCCUGGGGAGUACGGCCGCAAGGCUA